rnacentral:lncRNA from 1 species
CGCGCCUAAUAUUUCCCCCCUACUGUAUUUUUUUUGACCUGAUUAUCUGCUUUUAUAGGCCAACCAUAAGUUGCUUUUUUUUUACUAUCAUUUAUGCAUUACAAUCACAUCUUGGUUCAGCCAGACAACUAUGCACAUUAUUUUUCAACCCAGCCUAUGUUUUAUGAUGUUUUUUAUAGCAUAUUAGUUACUUUUAAAGUUGUCUUCCAACACCCCAAAGGCAACUCUCUAUG